ACUUGGACUCAGACCCAAAUGCACCUAGAAGUGGAAAUGGUGAAGAUGGUGUUGAGUGUUUUGCUCUUCUCUGGGCCUCACUUUCCUUAUCUGGGCAAUGGGAUCAUAAUCCCUGUUCUACCUGCCUCACAGGACUGUUUGAGUGAUCAGAGGUGAAACAGAAGCAGAAAGAACUGGACAUUGGAACUAAAUAUGGGUUCUAACCCUGGCACUGAAUCUCACUUGGCCUUGGGCAGGCCACAACCUCUCUGAGGUUCAUUUUCCUCAUUGUAAAUCUCUCCCAGCCCUGCCACUUGUGGUUGGCAGGACGGUCAGGUGAAGUCAUGGAUUUCAGAGGCUUAUUGUUUAAACCAGCAAGGCUCCAGCUGGGAGUUUCCUGUUUAAUAGAGGGAAAGGUUGAGAAACAAAAGAGACUCACUUGGAAAGUGAAAUAGAAUGUUGUAAACAAUUCCAGAUGGAGGAGGAGGCUGUUACUCCCCAGACACUGAAGGAGGGGGGAUCCCAACCACCAAGAAGCCUUCCGGAAGAGUGGUGCCAGCUGGAAGGUCUGCGUCAUCAUCGUCGUCUGGGACUGCUGCACACAGCACUCCUCCAGCGGUCAAGGCAGAAGGAAAAUGUCAAUCCCAGCCCCAGAAUUCAUCCUUUUCCACUCUGGGCCCCAGAAACUACUUGUAGUAGUGCCUCUCUGUCAGAGUGAAGGAGCCAACAAGGGACCUUGGACAAGCUUACUGCUUUCCUCUGAGCCUCAUUUUCAACAUCUAUCAGCCAGGCAAGAAAUCCCUCCAAUUCCCCAGCCCCAGGAGAUCCAGAUGGACAUGGGACAGUUUUGAAGAUAAAUAAAACCUCUAGCCUGUUCUUCUGA